CCAUGUUUUAUCCCUGGAUGGAACGGUUUUCCCUUCCGAUGGCUAUGGGAGGAGGAAGAAGGAUGAAAGAAGUUACAAGGCAAUCUGACCAAAGGCAGUUUUAACCUCAUUGGAUCAUAAUUACCAUGCUGGCAUGUUUGCACAAGGCACAUGAGGCAGGUUUAAGAGGAAGACGGAUUGAUGAAUGUACAAGCUGUUUGUAAAGAGCAGCUGAGCAAUGUUCGAAUUGGAGAUAAAACCCAAACCAUCAUGUGCAGAUGAAACACAAAACCUGUUGAACUAAUCGAUGACCUGUUGAGGCACAUUCUGCCAAUCUACCAGAAAGAUGUCUUGGUGGGGAGAAAAAUGGAAGAAGGUCAGUUGCUCCCAUUUAUUUUGUAUUUCAUGCUGAUUGAUUUUUCAAAAGCCUCAGCUCUGCGGGCUCAUCCUCGGAUUCAGCUGAAAUGAUGUUUUUAUUCACUUGUUUUGGUGUUGUCAUUGUUUUAUGUUUCUC